AUUGAACGCUGGCGGCAGGCCUAACACAUGCAAGUCGAGCGGAUGAAGGGAGCUUGCUCCUGGAUUCAGCGGCGGACGGGUGAGUAAUGCCUAGGAAUCUGCCUGGUAGUGGGGGAUAACGUCCGGAAACGGGCGCUAAUACCGCAUACGUCCUGAGGGAGAAAGUGGGGGAUCUUCGGACCUCACGCUAUCAGAUGAGCCUAGGUCGGAUUAGCUAGUUGGUGGGGUAAAGGCCUACCAAGGCGACGAUCCGUAACUGGUCUGAGAGGAUGAUCAGUCAUACUGGAACUGAGACACGGUCCAGACUCCUACGGGAGGCAGCAGUGGGGAAUAUUGGACAAUGGGCGAAAGCCUGAUCCAGCCAUGCCGCGUGUGUGAAGAAGGUCUUCGGACUGUAAAGCACUUUAAGUUGGGAGGAAGGGCAGUAAGUUAAUACCUUGCUGUUUUGACGUUACCAACAGAAUAAGCACCGGCUAACUUCGUG
rnacentral:rRNA from 1 species